AAAAAUGUCUGCUUUUUGUGAGUGACACACGUAGGAUAGCUCAUUUGCUCUGCAUGUAGAACCGAUAUCAAAAAAUUUUUGAAGCAUACUGUUUUGGUUUUUAGGCAGCUGAUGAUCAGUGACCUCUGUGUCCCU
ensembl:snRNA